rnacentral:sRNA from 1 species
GGCUUAUAUGGGCGGUCGGCUACCUCCGAUGAAAGGAGGGAUGCCUAUAUGAUGACAGUAUUGAAGCACUUAUACUUAUGCUUACUUUUGGUAUGCUAAUUAUAGCCACGCUGUCAUUCAGAAACGACAAAUAGACCGCCCUCCAACAAAAGGUUAACGGUCUAUUUGUGAUCACCUUUUUAAGCCAACCGCCCUUAGAAGCGGCUAUUGCGUGGGAGUCGUGUUACCAGCAC